CAAGGGAAAAGUGUGAAAAUUCAAGGAAACAAGUGACAAAAGGUGGUGAGCAUUCUGACAAAAGUAAAGAGAUAGUACCCAAGGAUCAAGAAUCAGAGUACUCAAAAUUCAACUCCCGAAAUAGCUUAGGAUAAUCGGUAGAUAGCUCACUUUGUUGAGGGCUA
rnacentral:sRNA from 1 species